UACGUAGGUGGCAAGCGUUGUCCGGAAUUAUUGGGCGUAAAGGGCGCGUAGGCGGUACUCUAAGUCAGAUGUGAAAUCCCGGGGCUUAACUCCGGACGUGCAUUUGAAACUGGAGAACUCGAGUGCAGGAGAGGUAAGUGGAAUUCCUAGUGUAGCGGUGAAAUGCGUAGAUAUUAGGAGGAACACCAGUGGCGAAGGCGACUUACUGGACUGUAACUGACGCUGAGGCGCGAAAGCGUGGGGAGCAAACAGG
rnacentral:rRNA from 1 species